GUCAUUUCAGACUUUCCGGAGUCUAAAAGAGAAGGAGAGACGAGCAUCUUUCAAAAAGAAAAAAGCACCAUCAGAAGACAACCUGAAGGUUGUUAAGAUUUCAGUAGGCCUUAUGCAGCUGAAAGAUGGUGUACUGAAGACUGUAAGAGGAACAGUACUUCCCCUUUUGAUGCGACCAGAGUUGGAUGCUGAUGAAUUGUAGGGAGCUGCUGAGCAAAAACUGAAGACCUUCCACAGAAAUUUACAUGGUGGUCCCUACGUACUGCUCUACCCUGACGGUACAAUGAUAACUAAUAUACCAGGAAAAGAAGUACCCUUCACUCUAAAAGAGUACAAAGAGGCAGUGGGGAAGGCCUACCAAUGUAUCACAGUGUUCGUUUGUACAACUGAAGAUUUCUUUACCUCUUGAAACCAACUCUGAAUCUGCCUCGUCGGAUUCAGUUCUGCAGAAUUCAAUGCAGCUGAUACAUUAGUAUGGGAACCUGCAGAUAGAGAGUCAGGCACUGAUUCAGCAGCUCCGGUCUUACUUUCUGACUCACAAGAGGGCCCAGGAACAUCAGGAGGUGUGAUGGAAACUGUGUGCUAUAGAUUCAGAAUGCACCCUCAUUGGAGAUCCUUCAGGACUUGAUGGUACGGAACAGCGGCAUGUUGCAGACUGCUGGGUGCUUCAGGCAUGUCAAGUCAUGUGAAGAAAAAAAAAUGAUUGUAGAGGAGUACCUGAAGUGGUACAUCAUCCACAGGAACAACACUGCAAUCGAAAGAUUCAAGGCUGGACUUGAAAGUCUGCAGUUUCUGACAGCUCUGCAGCAGCAUCCGACGGUCCUGACCCCUGCUCUCUUCAUGCCAAUGUGAAGCUGUCUGCUGCAGGGAUGGAAAAUCUGUUCCAGUCUGAACUUAGUCAACAGGGAAGCAACAGGAGGGCUCAGGAAGAAAAGGCUAUGAGU